UAUGGCUAUAUCAUGUUGAAACACUGGUUCUCACAUGAUCACCAAAGUUAAGCAACAUUGAGCCUGGUCAGAACCAAAAUAGGUGACUGCUUGGGAAUACCAAGUGCUGUAAG